GAUGAAGAACGUAGCGAAAUGCGAUAAAUAGUGUGAAUUGCAGAAUUCAGUGAAUCAUCGAAUCUUUGAACGCACAUUGCGCCUCCUGGUAUUCCGGGAGGCAUGCCUGUUCGAGCGUCAUCAAAAACCUCAACCCAUGAUUUAUUGUGAGUUGGUUCUGCAUUGGACUCCUUGUGGGUCCUUUGCGAAAUCCAAUGGCGAAGAGCCACGCAACCAAAGCGUAGUAUAACUAUUUCGUUAUGGAAGCGUGGGUGCCUCUGCCGUAACCCCCAAUUUCUUAGUUUUUGACCUCGGAUCAGGUAGGGAUACCCGCUGAACUUAAGCAUAUCAAUAAGCGGAGGA
rnacentral:misc_RNA from 1 species